rnacentral:rRNA from 1 species
AUUGAACGCUGGCGGCAUGCCUUACACAUGCAAGUCGAACGGUAACAGGUCUUCGGAUGCUGACGAGUGGCGAACGGGUGAGUAAUGCAUCGGAACGUGCCCAGUUGUGGGGGAUAACUGCUCGAAAGAGCAGCUAAUACCGCAUACGACCUGAGGGUGAAAGCGGGGGAUCGCAAGACCUCGCGCAAUUGGAGCGGCCGAUGUCAGAUUAGGUAGUUGGUGGGGUAAAGGCCUACCAAGCCGACGAUCUGUAGUUGGUCUGAGAGGACGACCAGCAACACUGGGACGGAGACACGGCCCAGACUCCUACGAGAGGCAGAAGUGGGGAAUUUUGAACAAUGGGCGCAAGCCUGAUCCAGCAAUGCCGCGUGCAGGAAGAAGGCCUUCGGGUUGUAAGCUGCUUUUGUCAGAGAAGAAAUCCUCUGGGUUAAUACCCCGGGGGGGUGACGGUACCUGAAGAAUAAGCACCGGCUAACUACGUGCCAGCAGCCGCCGUAACAC